rnacentral:rRNA from 1 species
AGCAGCCGCGGUAAUUCCAGCUCCAAUAGCGUAUAUUAAAGUUGUUGCAGUUAAAAAGCUCGUAGUUGAAUUUCGGGGUUAGUAGGUUGGUCAUGCCUCUGGUAUGUACUGGUCUCACUGAUUCCUCCUUCCUGAUGAGCCGUAAUGCCAUUAAUUUGGUGAUGCGGGGAAUUUGGACUGUUACUUUGAAAAAAUUAGAGUGUUUAAAGCAAGCUAACGCUUGAAUACAUUAGCAUGGAAUAAUGAAAUAGGACGUUCGAUCCUAUUUUGUUGGUUUCUAGGAUUGACGUAAUGAUUAAUAGGGAUAGUUGGGGGCAUUAGUAUUCAAUUGUCAGAGGUGAAAUUCUUGGAUUUAUUGAAGACUAACUACUGCGAAAGCAUUUGCCAAGGAUGUUUUCAUUAAUCAAGAACGAAAGUUAGGGGAUCGAAGACGAUCAGAUACCGUCGUAGUCUUAACCAUAAACUAUGCCGACUAGGGAUCGGAUGAUGUUAAUUUUUUAAUGACUCA